UACGGAGGGAGCUAGCGUUGUUCGGAAUUACUGGGCGUAAAGCGCGCGUAGGCGGCUUUGUAAGUUAGAGGUGAAAGCCCGGGGCUCAACCCCGGAAUUGCCUUUAAGACUGCAUCGCUAGAAUCCAGGAGAGGUGAGUGGAAUUCCGAGUGUAGAGGUGAAAUUCGUAGAUAUUAGGAGGAACACCAGUGGCGAAGGCGGCUUUCUGGACAGUAACUGACGCUGAGGCGCGAAAGCGUGGGGAGCAAACAGG
rnacentral:rRNA from 1 species